CUAAGCCAUCAAUGCUCAGACUAAGCCAGUCAGAUGACCAGGUAAGGACUUACAUGAGACACUGUUCAAAGAUGACAUUCAGAAUCAGCAAAGAAAAGACAUGUAGGAGACUACUUCACUGGACUAUCAUCCUCUGUCUUCUGUAGCCAGAGCUGAUGUUAGAAUAUUAGAAGGACAAAUGUCCAAUGAAGGGCUACAAAGAUGGAAGAGGAUCUAGAUGGGAAAACAGUGACUGAGGUGCCUUGGUUUUUUCAGGCUGCAGAAGGGGAGCCUGAGGGGGAGUCCACACAACUUCCCAGGGCAGGCUGAAGGAACUCAGGAUAUUCUAUGAUUCUAUGGUUAUGCUUCCCUUGCUACCUAAGGAGUGUUUUGCUUUGUCCCCUCAUCACUACUGUCAGGCACCGGGGUGACUACACUUGCAGUUAGCCAGGCAGCUGGGUUUUAGUGGAGACCAUCUGACCCUUCAGGACACUCUUGACACCAUCUUGGUGAGGAGACCCCAAACAUGGGAUGAAAGGGGGCUGAAAGCUGCACAGGUCUCUGUGCCAGUCCAGACAUUCUAUCCGGAAAGCAAAAAGGCGUAAGUGAGCCAUUCCCCAAAAAAGGGCCCUCAAGCACCCCCCACUCUUACUGGCACACCAGUCACAGAGCAACUAACGGGGAGGAAAUCUGAAGAACAGCCAAGGUGAAUCCACCUCCAGAAAAAAAACAACCCAUGGAAAUGAAUACACGUCCAUCAGGGCCAAGGAGACACAACACCAUCAAGAUGCCUGCUAAAAGACAACACCCAACAAUACAUUGCCUUGUGUCAUAUGAGACAACUCACAACCGAAGAGCUGGCAAGGAGUCCCAGGAAAUACUGAGGGAAAUUCCUUCUGUCAAUGUUAAGAAAAUGAAAGAAGAGGAGAGAUUUGAGUAUUGACUACUGUUGCCUACUGGAAGCAUGGAAUAAAAUGAGGACUGGCUUUUCUCUCUUUGGUGUUCAGUGGUGAAGGAUCAGAGAUGCCAGGCUCACACUAGAGCAGCAGAAAUGCCACCUCCUUCAGGCUACGGGGCAAGAGUGAAGGUCAGCAAAAGAGAACUCACAUCACCCUGCAAAUUCAGCAGCUCUUUAUUGACUGCAUGUCCCUAGGCUGCCUGUGGGGUGUUAGCAUCCUUUGUCUCCACCUUGCUUCGGCUGAGCAAUAGGCUGCCUCCACUUGCAGGAAGCCAGCUGCUGCCAGGAAGAGGACACUCCUGGAGUAAUCCUGCCACUCAUCAGUACAAAUGGAUCGGAGGCACAGGAUGAAGAAAGGGAGUCUCCACGGGGCCUUUGGCCCAAGUGCCACUAAUUCUCUCUGGCAAGCACAAUGCAACAGAUGAGCCCUUCCCAGGACACAGUCCUUCAGUUCUCCAGGUCCUUCCUUCUCCUUCAAAAUUGGGGCAACUCUCAGGCCAUAGGCCCCAACUCCAAAAACUCUUGUUUUUGGGUUGCCAUGGAACUCUGCUGAUGUCACUGCCUCGUGUUCCGAGCCCUCCAACUGCCACACCAACAGCAAGAGGAGAAGAGGCGCCACGUAAGAAUGGAUCCUCCUCCCCUGAAAAAGCAGAAGCUCAUGGGGAGGAGGUGGAAAGUGGAGCCGAUGGAGGUGGAUCCACCUACAGAGGCAGAGGAGCCAAUGGAGGUGGAUCCACCUCCAGAGGAGCAGCAGCCCAUGGAGGUGGAUCCACCUCCACGUGGGCUCAAGAGACAGCGCCCAGGACCGGACAGCAAGACAAAAAGCAGGCGUGACAAGUCCACAAAGAAGCUCAGG